rnacentral:rRNA from 1 species
UACGUAGGUGGCAAGCGUUGUCCGGAUUUACUGGGCGUAAAGCGAACGCAGGCGGGCCUUUAAGUAGGAAGUGAAAGGUUGGAGCUCAACUCUAACACUGCUCCCUAUACUGGGGGUCUUGAGUGCCGGAGAGGAAGACGGAACUGCAGGUGUAGCGGUGAAAUGCGUUGAUAUCUGCAGGAACACCAAUGGCGAAAGCAGUCUUCUGGACGGAUACUGACGCUCAGGUUCGAAAGCCAAGGUAGCAAACAGG